CUGGCGGGGGUGGUGGGAGUGGAGGUGGAGGGGGUGCGGGCUACGGAGCGGCUGGAGGGUACGGAGAGGCUGGAGGGUAUGGAGGUGGCGGCGGCAGCGGUGGCGGCGCCGGAGGUGGCCAUGAGAGCUACGUUCCAUGAAUAAGGCCUUCAAACAAUUGGGAUUUAUCUAUAUUGUACUCUUAUAAAUAUGUCUGAGCUGCAAUAACAGCUAAAAGGCUUUCUGAAUUGGUUGCUUGGUAGCAAAGUUUACUAAGCAGUUAGCUUGUAUUGUAAGUGUUUGGAAUGGAAGAAAACUAG
rnacentral:misc_RNA from 1 species